UGAACCCAAGAAGAAGAAAUAUGCAAAAG
rnacentral:piRNA from 1 species